GAAUCAUCACCGCACCUGAACCUAACAACAUCUUUCACAGGAUUCUUGGCCACCUUAUCAUCAAAAUGUGCUUUACACACCUUGGCCCCACCUCUCAAAGAAUCAUUCUCUAUGUAAUUGACCCACAAAUCACGGUUUCCCUUAAAAAACCCAUUUUUACUGUUAUUGUGAUUCUCAUAACCAAUAUCAUUAUCGUGACUAUCACAUUCAUUCCCGUCACUACAACACACAAAGACCCAAAGCCUAGCAUGCUUACCGCACAACUCCAGCUUAUCAUACUCCUCGAUCAUGCACCUAACGU
rnacentral:misc_RNA from 1 species